rnacentral:tRNA from 1 species
GGAGCUGUGGCUUAGUGGCCAAGCAUCUUCUUAGCCUGAAGAGGGCCCCAGGUUCAAUCUUUGGCAUCUUUA